rnacentral:rRNA from 1 species
GUCGAGGGGUAACGAUGUAGCUUGCUACAGGCGACGACCGGCGCACGGGUGCGUAACGCGUAUGCAACUUUCCUUAUACAGGAGGAUAGCCCAGGAAAACUUGGAUUAAUACUCCAUAAUGUCACCAGGUCGCAUGGCCAGGUGAUUAAAACUCCGGUGGUAUAAGAUGGGCAUGCGUAGGAUUAGCUAGUAGGUAGUGUAACGGACUACCCAGGCAACGAUCCUUAAGGGUUCUGAGAGGAUUAUCCCCCACACUGGUACUGAGACACGGACCAGACUCCUACGGGAGGCGGCAGUGAGGAAUAUUGGUCAAUGGGCGCGAGCCUGAACCAGCCAUCCCGCGUGCAGGAUGACGGCCCUAUGGGUUGUAAACUGCUUUUCUACGCCAAGAAAGGCCCGUACGAGUACGGGAUUGACGGUAGCGUAGGAAUAAGCAUCGGCUAACUCCGUGCCAGCAGCCGCGGUAAUACGGAGGAUGCAAGCGUUAUCCGGAUUCAUUGGGUUUAAAGGGUGCGCAGGCGGGCUUGUAAGUCAGUGGUGAAAUACUGCCGCUUAACGGUAGAAUUGCCAUUGAUACUGCGAGUCUUGAGUAUGGUUGAGGUAGGCGGAAUGUGCAGUGUAGCGGUGAAAUGCAUAGAGAUUGCACAGAACGCCGAUUGCGGAGGCAGCUUACUAAGCCAUAACUGACGCUGAGGCACGAAAGCGUGGGGAGCGAACAGGAUUAGAUACCCUGGUAGUCCACGCUGUAAACGAUGUUCACUCGCUGUUUGCGAUACACAGUAAGCGGCUGAAGCGAAAGCAU